rnacentral:rRNA from 1 species
UACGUAGGCAGCAAGCGUUGUUCGGAAUUACUGGGCGUAAAGAGUGUGUAGGCGGUGCUCCAAGUCUGGUGUGAAAUCUCCCGGCUUAACUGGGAGGGUGCAUUAGAAACUGGAAUGCUAGAGGAUGGGAGAGGUAAGCGGAAUUCCUGGUGUAGCGGUGAAAUGCGUAGAUAUCAGGAGGAACACCUGUGGUGUAGACAGCUUACUGGACCAUUUCUGACGCUGAGACACGAAAGCGUAGGUAGCAAACAGG